rnacentral:rRNA from 1 species
GAUGAACGCUGGCUACAGGCUUAACACAUGCAAGUCGAGGGGCAGCAUGGUCUUAGCUUGCUAAGGCCGAUGGCGACCGGCGCACGGGUGAGUAACACGUAUCCAACCUGCCGUCUACUCUUGGACAGCCCGCUGAAAGGAAGAGUAAGAAAAAAUGGCAUCAUAAGUUCACAUGUUCACAUGAUUAAAGGUAUUCCGGUAGACGAUGGGGAUGCGUUCCAUUAGAUAGUAGGCGGGGUAACGGCCUACAUAGUCUUCGAUUGAUCGGCGUUCUGAGAGGUAGGUACCUGACAUGGGAACUGGGUCACGGACCAUACUCCUACGGGAGGCAGCAGUGAGGUAUAGUAGGCAAUGGGCGAGAGCCUGAACCAGUCAAGUAGCGCGAAGGAUGACUGCGCUAUGUGUUGUAAACUUCUUUUAGAAAGGAAGAAAGUCGUGUAUGGAUACCCGUUUGCAGGUACUUUAUGAAUAAGGAUCGGCUAACUCCGUG